GCUCAGUGGGGGCCGUGUGUCCU
rnacentral:miRNA from 1 species